rnacentral:rRNA from 1 species
UCCCUUCGGGGAGAAGCGCUAGUGGCGAACGGGUGAGUAACACGUGGGUAACCUGCCCUGAACUCUGGGAUAACUCCGGGAAACCGGGGCUAAUACCGGAUACGACCUUCGAAGGCAUCUUCGGGGGUGGAAAGUUUUUCGGUUCAGGAUGGACCCGCGGCCUAUCAGCUUGUUGGUGGGGUAAUGGCCUACCAAGGCUUUGACGGGUAGCCGGCCUGAGAGGGCGACCGGCCACACUGGGACUGAGACACGGCCCAG